AUUAAUGUAACAAAAGCAUAAGCAUUAUCAAUUAUAAAUAGAUAAAAUCUUUGAUACAUGCAAAGUGGAGGAAAUAUGACUAAUAUUAUCAAAUUUGUUAAGGUUAUGAUUUACUUUCUUUCUAUAUUUCUUAUUUCAACGUACUUUAAAGUGAAAUUGAGUUGUUUUGAGGAUUCUGAUUGCCCAUAUGAUAUGUGUUAUGCUGGUUUUCAACCAAAGUGUGUGAAUGGUUGGUGUGACUGUUAGAGAAUUCAGCCAUGAAUUCAAUGAGUAGCAGCAACUUAUGUAAAUUAUUUUACAGUCACAUUAUAUCUUCACAUUAUAGUUUUAAACGAUUUCAUAUACUUUUUAUACCCUUAUUAAAAAAAUUAUUAUCAUCUCUGAGGAUCUAAAUCAAUUAAAUGUUAAUAUUCUAUGAUUUCUACUA